rnacentral:rRNA from 1 species
AUGCUGGUUGAACUUAAAAGGCAUGUCAUGUUUCCUACUGUUUAUCGCCUCAUUGAGUUGGCAUUGCUACUACCAGUAGCGACGAUAACAGUUGAAAGGGCCAUCUCAUCAAUGAAAAUCAUCAAGACUGAGUUGCGCAGCAAGUUGGCCGAUGGUUGGCUUAAUGACUUGAUUGUUUGUUAUAUUGAGCAAGAUAUCUUUAAAAGUAUUGAUCUUGAUAAAAUUAAGUAA